GAGGGGGAGAGCAAGGAGCUGGGGGAAGCAGACUGCAGGGAGACAGCGCCUGGAACCCCCUCCCCAGGGACCUGGCCCUGGGCCCCCAGCCCCAAAAGGGGCCCUGCCCUCCUCGGGGUCGCGCUCUCUUCCCCCCCCGCCCUGCCCCCGCCCUCCAGCUUUGUGUCCCCAGGAGGGUGGGCUGCAGGAUUUCCAGCCAAGCCUUGGCUGCCUGCUCAGUUUUUCCAAACCCUCCAGUUGGAGAAGGCGGGAGCCUUGUCAGGAUAAGAGUCCCUCCCCCUCUGCCCCUGCCGGCCCCCUGGUCCAGCUUGGAGUUUCCUGUCCCCGCAGCUUUCCAAACUCCUUUCCCUUUCCGACCCUGGCCCCAGCGCCCCCUAGCCCCACCUCUGUUGGUUCCCAAGUUCCAAGUUCAGGUUGGAGGGGCCAGGUGGACGCCACAAUCUUAGCGAGGCGCUGGUAAAGCCUCACUCUGCCGGCCGACCCAGAGACCUGCGGGGCGCCGGCCUGACUCCCGGCCUGGGCCCGCCCCGUCCCAGGACUCGGCCUCUGGCCACCAGGGAAGGUGGCUCUUGGGGUCUCCCGCUCCCGGAAGGAGGCGGUGCCGGGGACGUCCGCACAGCUGGGCGGUAAGAUAGAAACUCAUAUUUUCCCAGUUUGAGCUCGGGUUCCGUAUGAAGCUGAAGAUGCUCUUGAAUUGAUCCUCCGGCCUUCACUUCCUGUCACGGUGAGGCCUUCUUCAUUCAGGGCUUACACCCCUGCCCCUCAUCUGGACCUCCCCGACCUUGCCCAGUGUUCAGCUCCUGGGCCCAUCUACCCAUUCGGUCAACAGUCACUGAAGCCCUCCUGUGAACCUGAGCAGCACCCAGGUCAGUCGUGCAAGGAACACAGAGACGACCGGAAGUUAUGAUCUGAGUCCUCGGGAAUCUCGUGCCAGCCAGAUGUACAGACAGGAGGAACGACACAAAUAUGGGAGUCAGUACUCUGGUGGGUGGCACUGAUGUGACAGGUGACGGGGAACAGAAGACACCAUUUGCUAGUGUUCUUUGUGAAGCAGUCAGUGCUCGCUGGGCACUGGUUGAUUUCAUUCGAGGCGAGGGGGCGGUGGGAUAGAAGGAAGAUGGCCUGGGAGAAGAAGCCUUGAGUUCUAGUUCCAGGUUCACAAUUCUAGUUGUGCAACUCAGCAAUUCCUUAAGUCACACAAGCCUCACUUCUCAUUUAUCCCUUCCUUGUAAAUCCGUGGUGGUAACCAUUGAGAUAAUGUAGGCAAUGCUUUAAAAAA
rnacentral:lncRNA from 1 species